GACGAACGCUGGCGGCGUGCUUAACACAUGCAAGUCGAACGGAAAGGCCCUGCUCUUGUGGGGUGCUCGAGUGGCGAACGGGUGAGUAACACGUGAGUAACCUGCCCUUGACUUUGGGAUAACUUCAGGAAACUGGGGCUAAUAUCGGACAGGAGCUCCUGCUGCACGGUGGGGGUUGGAAAGUUUCGGCGGUUGGGGAUGGACUCGCGGCUCAUCAGCUUGUUGGUGAGGUAGUGGCUUACCAAGGCGUUGACGGGUAGCCGGCCUGCGAGGGUGACCGGCCACAUAGGGACUGAGGUACGACCCAGACGCCUACGUGGGGCAGCAGUGGAGAAUAGUGCACAAUGGGCGGAAGCCUGAUGCAGCAACUCCGCGUGCGAGAUGACGGCCUUCGGGUUGUAAACCGCUUUCGCCUGUGACGAAGCGUGAGUGACGGUAAUGGAUAAAGAAGCACCGGCUAACUACGUG
rnacentral:rRNA from 1 species